rnacentral:rRNA from 1 species
UGGCGGCAGGCCUAACACAUGCAAGUCGAACGGUAACAGGAAGAAGCUUGCUUUUUUGCUGACGAGUGGCGGACGGGUGAGUAAUGUCUGGGAAACUGCCUGAUGGAGGGGGAUAACUACUGGAAACGGUAGCUAAUACCGCAUAACGUCGCAAGACCAAAGAGGGGGACCUUCGGGCCUCUUGCCAUCGGAUGUGCCCAGAUGGGAUUAGCUUGUUGGUGGGGUAACGGCUCACCAAGGCGACGAUCCCUAGCUGGUCUGAGAGGAUGACCAGCCACACUGGAACUGAGACACGGUCCAGACUCCUACGGGAGGCAGCAGUGGGGAAUAUUGCACAAUGGGCGCAAGCCUGAUGCAGCCAUGCCGCGUGUAUGAAGAAGGCCUUCGGGUUGUAAAGUACUUUCAGCGGGGAGGAAGGGAGUAAAGUUAAUACCUUGCUCAUGACGUACCCGCAGAAGA